GACUACAGGGGUAUCUAAUCCCGUUUGAUCCCCUGGCCUUCGUGCCUCAGCGUCAGGUCUUGUCCAGAGACUCGCCUUCGCCACUGGUGUUCCUCUUGAUAUCUACGCAUUUCACUGCUACUCCAAGAAUUCCAGUCUCCCUUCCAAUCCUCUAGCACAGCAGUCUCCCAGGCUCCCUCCACGUUAAGCAUGGAGAUUUCACCCAAGUCUUACUAUACCGCCUACGCACCCUUUACGCCCAGUGAUUCCGAACAACGCUUGGGACCUCUGUAUUACCGCGGCUGCUGGCACAGAGUUAGCCGUCCCUUCCUCUUUUGCUACUAUCAAUGUCAUCAUCUCUUAAACAAUAACACUUGCUCACAAAUGACAGGGGUUUACGAGCCGAAGCCCUUCAUCCCCCACGCGGCGUCGCUCCUUCAGGGUUUCCCCCAUUGAGAAAAAUUCUCGACUGCAGCCCCCCGUAGG
rnacentral:rRNA from 1 species